rnacentral:rRNA from 1 species
AUUGAACGCUGGCGGCAUGCCUUACACAUGCAAGUCGAACGGCAGCGGACCUUCGGGUGCCGGCGAGUGGCGAACGGGUGAGUAAUGCAUCGGAACGUACCUUUCAGUGGGGGAUAACGUAGCGAAAGUUACACUAAUACCGCAUAUUCUGUGAGCAGGAAAGCAGGGGAUCGCAAGACCUUGCGCUGAUUGAGCGGCCGAUGUCAGAUUAGCUAGUUGGUGAGGUAAAGGCUCACCAAGGCGACGAUCUGUAGCGGGUCUGAGAGGAUGAUCCGCCACACUGGAACUGAGACACGGUCCAGACUCCUACGGGAGGCAGCAGUGGGGAAUUUUGGACAAUGGGGGCAACCCUGAUCCAGCCAUGCCGCGUGAGUGAAGAAGGCCUUCGGGUUGUAAAGCUCCUUCGGCCGGGAAGAAAUCGCACGGGCUAAUACCCUGUGUGGAUGACGGUACCGGAAUAAGAAGCACCGGCUAACUACGUGCCAGCCGCCGCGGUAAAAC